rnacentral:lncRNA from 1 species
GAAGUAGAAGGAGGGGAAACCAUAACCAGGAUAUAUUAUUAUGUUGUAAGGGGAAAAAGACCUGUUUUCACUAGAAGGAGAGAAAAAACAAGCAACAUAUCAGUAUAAUUUCAUCUUACUUAGAUCCAAUAUUAUGUACUCUUUGUGAAAAGGAAAAGAAUCGUGAUGGUUUAUUUUCUGAUUUGUAUGUAUUUCAUGAGUUCAUAAGUCACUGAAAGUCUGCUUUUGGUGUCUAAUUGGUUGGCAGUCCAGCCUGGUGAGGAAGAGUGAGUCCAGCUGCAUCGCCCUUGCACAAUGGUCCAGGUGUCUGUUUCUGAGUUGUAAAAGAAUUUCUUUAUUUCUAGGGUCUUAUUUCUCAACUCGUAUUUUUCCUAGCCCUGAAUUUUAAAAUCAUAAUUUAUACAAUGGGGCUAUUUUAAAACUGAUUAUGGUGUAUAUAUUUACAGUGCAGUGGGGCUGACUCGGGUGAAGCUUGAGGGCAUUUGGAUGUGUUUACUUCACAGCUGAGCCUGUGGUUCUCCUGCCCGCGGUGCCUAGCACCUCCUUCUUUUCUUCCUUGACUGUUCUGAUGCCCAGGAAGCAGCUACUACACUUGUAAGUCAGCGUGAGGGGAGUUAGUUCAGGGUCGGCUCUUAGAGCAGCUCAUCUCCCUUCCCAGUAUAUUGACCGUGGUGAUGAUUAUUUCUUGAUUGGAUACAAAUCUCAAAGCUUAUCAGUUGCACACUUUAAAUCCUUGUGAGUUUUUUGUCUCUAGCCAAAAUCUACACGUGCACACAUUUUUUGUUUUUGUUUUGUUUUUUUUUUACAUUCAGGCUUUAAUGUCCUUUUGAGAAACAUGACCAUGCGUGUUUUCUGACCCCCUUCGGCAAGACAUUUCUGUAUUUGAACUUCCUUUAUAUGGUAAACACUUAAUUGUGUUUAAAACUUAAAUAUUUUCCUCAUACUUCUCUCCUUUACCCAAAUAAAACAUUGAAUUGAUUAUAUUUGUAAUUUAGUAUAUGAAGUACAAGACUUGCACAAAAUCUUUGAUUAAUGAAAGAGAUUACAUACUAACUUGUCACAGUUUUCUGAGAUACCACAUUAAAGUGACUAUUCAGUGCGUGUAAGGUAUCAGUAUCUCAGAUAAGGAAAGCUACUCCUAUUAAAUAUCAUUUCACUUAAAUUAUAGAUGAGCUAGAAGAAACAUUUUAAUUAUAUGAAAAUUACAGAUGAUCAUGGAUUUAUUACUUAAAGAUGUUAGCUAAGUAUGCUUGUCUUAUAAAAAUUUUAUUCCUAUAAAGUUUUAAUUAAGGCUGUUUCUUCUAUUCAUCCCUCCAGAAAAGAUGUCUACUCUGUACUUUCAUAACAUAAUAUAAAUAAUUAUUAAAGCCUUUGUGUGUUUACUGCUCUGUCUAUCUCAAUAGAGUAGAAAGUCUGAAAGCAAAGCCUUUCAGCACUCUUGGUUGUGCUUAGUAUCUUGAUAAAAAGGUUAAGCAGUGAGCACCUGCUCUGUAAUUGUGGAGAUAGCCCUUUCUCCUGAGUUCUCUUCAUUGUCAUUGCAUACAUUUCAAAGCUUUGUAGUUUUUUUGUUUUUGUUUUUGUUUUUUAGAUGCUUGUGUGUUUUGAAUUAAUCCCAUACUGUAUUAUAUUGCUCUUUAACUGUGACAUUAAUUCCUGUUUUGAUGUCUAUGUCUGGCAGUAUAGACAUACUAGCUUUCAUUUGUUUAGUGUGUAUGGUACCUCUGUAACAAACCUUACUAAUGUUGUUGAAUGUUCUUCUAUUCCAGGUAGGCUCUUUAUAGACAGCAUGGGUAGGGCUUGCUAACCUGAUUAGCCAUGGCUUCUAAGUGAAAGGCUUAGACUUGAAACCCUCCAGCUUCCUAGCUGCUUUCUGACCAUCUGAGCUGUUCUUUGUCCCCUUACCUGCUUCCUCUUGAAUGUGAUGGUGUAGAUAGAUGUGGUGGAACACAUUUAACCUCUGGAAAUGAGCCCAUUCUCUUUUACAUUGGAUUGUUAGUGUGGAAAGCAGGUCAAGUCAAAUAUACUCAAGAGUUGAACUGGGUUUAUUUUUGUUGUUACAUAAACCAAACCCUCUUGGCGUGUGCUGUUAUCUCCUGGGUCUGAAAAUGCCCUGCUGGAGGACUUUCCCGAGGGUUCCUGCUUUCCCUGCAGCCAGGAACAAUCGGUGCUGUCCUGUGCCAUAGGGAGUUUCUCCCUGCUGUUGUUGCUGUCACAGAAGUAAACAGGCCAAAUUAACAUGAGUAAGCUAGAUCGAUAUCAAGCAUUUAUUCUGCUUAUUUUCCCUGGAUCCGAAUAAAAAGUCAGAUACCUUCCUUUCUUGAAAAAAGAAUUCUUAAUUUACCAUGACCGUGUCUAGGAAAAAUUACUUUAAAAAGUAAAUAGAAUGUGAAUUAUAAUGAUCAGUGAUUUAAAAGCUAAAAGUAACAAAACUUGAGGGUUUGAUUCUUAUUAGCAGAUACAUAUAGACAGCACACAUUAGGUUCUUUCUGUACAUCCGCCAUGGAGGUAGACACAGUAGGGAAAGAAAGAAGCAAGAAGCCUCAGAGCUCAUAGUACCUUGGUGUGACCAGUAUGCUGACAGAUGCUGGAAUACUGCACAAAGGCGAGCUCACCAGCUCUGGGAGGCUGCACUUUAAUAUUUAUGUCAUUACCUUGGGAAUAAUAACUUUUUCUAAUAUUAAGUUCUUAUUGAAAUUCUUAACAUAUUGAGUUUU